GUCUAGACUGUAAAUUAUCUUCGCUAUAUGUUUUCUGUAAAGGAAGUGUCGUAAGCUAACGCGUUAAGCGAAGCGCCUGGGUAGUAUAUUCGCAAGAAUGAAACUCAAAGGUAUAGGCGGGGGAACACACAAGCAGUGGAUGAUCUCGAUUAAUUGGAUAGCAAGCCAAAAACCUUACCAAGACUUGACAUGUAUUGUGUCCCCUAGGAGACUAGGAUAUCUGGAGCAAUCUGGAGCUUUACACAGGUGGUGCAUGGUCGUCGU
rnacentral:rRNA from 1 species